CGCUCUCUCUCCUCACCGCUGCGUCAGUGCAGCUAGGGGAUUGAGCUCAAGCUAGCUCGAAUAAAGGCUCUUUUGCUUUUGCAUCGGACUCGGCUCCCUAGUGGUCUUUGGGGAUCACGAAUUCCGGGCAUAACAUAUUCAUGUGGUCACAUGAAUCCCACAGCCGUUAAUGUUGAGAGGGCUGUGCGUCCAAACUGGGUCACCAAGGAGGUUCUGCUAAUCUGUCACUCAGACACUCCAUUAAAAAACAUGCCUUCCAGAACCACGCAGCCGUAGGAAGAGGGGUGGAAAACUUCAUACAAUUGUCGUCCUUAUGAUGCAGAUGGAACGGGGCAUCAUAGUCUCCGGUGAGCCAGGGCACAGCCGGUGCAACAGCAGAAAGAAAGGCAGACGCGGACACACUCCGUUCUGCCCAGCGUGGGCCGUGGCCAAUGCUGCCUGGUGAUGCCGUGAGCCCAAGAACGAGGUCAGCUGCACUGUGGACGGGACUUUCUCAGGAAAGGAAGCACUGCGUCGGUCUGCAUUAGCCGCUAAGGCUGUAGAUCAGCGCGCGGAGAAGCACGGAUACAAAUUAUACUUCGUUAUCAUCCAAAGCAGUCCGGGCCGUGCACCAAAGGGUAAAGCUUUCAUCGCUCUUUGCUUUGUUCCUGGGUUCUGGUCAGUUGAGGUCCGCCGGAGACUCGUGACUUAACGUGAGCAGGACUAAGCCAGCCAGCAAGAGACAGUGGAGCCCCUGGGGGUGUCCAUGGCCCCGAGUCAGGUGCAGGGACCCCUAGGGUAGGUGAGAACAGGGGCUGGAGAAGACGGGCCACAUCGAUCGGGCCAGUGGCUGUGGGCCCAGGAGGGACGCCGCUGUCACCAGCAAGCCAGCAGCCAUGGGGAAGGGAGGGAAACUAAAGAGCAGACAGUUUACAUCACCUGUUGGUAAGUAACUUUGUGCCCAAUGUCACAGAGGCGGUGGGUGAAGGAACCAGACUCAACCCAGGCAGACUGGAUGCACAGUUCAUGCUUGUGCAGCGGGCGUGCAAACCAUGGGAAAAUUGUAUGAAACAGACCCAAACCUUCACCAAAAAAAUAAAUUAAAAUCAUUUUAUUUUCUUAUGCCACCAGGGAUACAGACGCUAUUUUAAUUUUAAAAAGUAAACCUUCUGCAUGGGCAAUAUCAUACAUGGCAAAUAUGACAUUCGGGUCAAAAAUAACACAAGUGUAGGCAUGGAAAUUUCACUGUUAAUUUUAUGUUUGAUGUUGAGGGCGCCUAACAUCUUGGUGAGGGUUACUGUAUGGACUGACUCGAUAAAACAAAAGAGAUAAAAAGGUAAAGUCUUGACAGAGUAAAGUCACCCAGAAAGGGGGUGGGGGAAAUGCAGGAAAAGAGACUAACUCUCCUUUGCCAAUUUUCAUUUGAUAUUUUUGCCAAGCUGGCGCUCUUAAUGUCUCCAGACCUUUAGGACAUAAGCCCCGAAGUGCUUUCAAGUCAGGCCACUGGACCUAGAGUCCACGUCGGUGGCCCCACUCCCGCUCUCUCCCCCUUUGGCUCAUGUGGAAGGGACAAUGGGCUGCCCAUUCCUGGAUCUGUUCAGCUGCAUUGGUCCAGACAGUGAAUGUGAUUUUGGCUGGGUUUUAGAACAUCCUCAAAUCCCAUCCCCGCAGAGAGACCAAGCUCCAAUCCUACACAUGUAACUCCCCGUUUACUCUGCGGGUUCACUGGGAAAUGCCUAACGUUACUACCACCUUCACCCGGAAAAGUGGAGGGUAGAUAAAAGUGGAAGUGAUUCUAGAGAAAGUAGAGAUGCCGAGGGCUGGAGGUAGAUUUUAUAAAGACUGUGCAGGACAGGAACAAUGAAAUAAGGUCUAAUUACUGGGACCACAGCUGAAGUUGUUGAUAUGCAUAAAUAGAUUCCAGCACAAAGCAGCAAUGUGCAAGUAGAAAGGAUUUCAGUGGGUAUCCCAAUCUCCGCAUUUUGGAUUGUCUAACUGUUAUGUGUUUCUGGGAGAGAGAAACCAAGGAAGCAUUCUGAGUUAGGGAUCAACCUGCAGUGGGAUAUCUGUAGGACUUCCCACACCCUGCACACACUCCCGAGUAUCCCCCACUGAGCCCUCACACAACCGAACACACAGACACCUACACGCCUACACAUCUGAUCACAUACUCCUAGCUACACACACUAAAACGUGCACACCAGCUGCAGAUGUAUCCAGACUGGGACACAAGAAAGGGAAAUGACCGGUAAUCCAUGUCAAUAGCUGAAAGGCUGGGGAAGGAGAUGAAUAGAAUACAGAUCCUGCCAUUAAACCCUCAGCCCAAUAUGAACUCAGUUAUAGUUUGAAAAAAUAUGGAAAAACCUCCCACAAAAACCCAUUUGUCCCUUUUCCUAAACUGUGUGUGUGUGUGUGUGUGUGCAAUUUUUAGCUAAUAGUAACCUUGUUAAGGAGGAAGUGAAUCGUUUCCUUCUUGUUGCACACUUACAGCGUUGAAAUUGCAUAUUCUUCCUAAGGAUGAGACUCUAAGUCCCUGUGUGGAAACCCUAGACUUGGUGGUCUGAGAGGGUAUCAUGAAGGCACAGGAACCCUCUGCCUUUCUCACCGAAGUUUUAGAACAAAAGCAGUAUUCCUGUCUCCAUACAUUCAUUCUCUAAUCUGGGACUGCAGAGAAUUUUAUUACAAUUCUGUGAGAUGUUGUGUUCAAGGCACUCAGAGAGCCAGCUCUCCAGACAAAAAGGAGAUACCUUACAAAAUGAGAAAUUUAAAAAACUAAAGGAAAUACCUUGGUCCCGGCUAUUUCCAUUCCCCUCUGGUCAUAGACCCGCUUUGACGGCUUGGACUCAUACUGGACUCUUCAGGGAUUGGUGGGUAAGACCCUCGGGCCUCCACCGGAUGUUCAUCUACAGCAAAUAGGAAAAAUUAAAUAGCUCUAUCUUGGACUUGGUCAUCUUUGUUGUUUUAACAAUUGCUUGGCAAAGAAAUUUUAACACUACACUAGUAUGUAUCCAUUCUUUUAUAUGGGAUUUCAACUCAUGAGCAGUUAAGAUGUUCACAAGUGAAUUUGCAUUCUCUCUCUUCUUGGCUCACCAGGCAUGCAGAACAUGUGGGUGGGCUUAUUUCAACAAACUUGCUUAAAAGUCACCAUUUUUUCUUUACUAUUAUGUCCUUAACUGAAAGUUGAAAACUCUAAAUAAUAGCAUAUAUUCAACCAGAGCACUUUUCCCUCAUUGUAAAUGUGACUCUUAGGAGAGCCAUUGCAAUUUGGAGUCUCUUUCCUGAGCUUCAAGCAUUUCGACAUUCCUCUGAGUAUAAAGGAUUGUGGUGUGGUGUUCCUAAGUCACUGAUGAUAUUAUUCUUUUAGCGUAGUGAGUCCUUUCACCAAAGACAGGAAAUCUGGCCCUGUGACUUCUGUGUGCUUGGCAUUUUUAUCAAAAUGCUAUUACAGUUUCUAUGAUCUUAUGAAGAAGACAUUUAAAACAGCACAUAUUCGGGGCACCUGGAUGGCUCAGUCGGUUAAGCAUACGACUUCGGCUCAGGGCAUGAUCUCGCGGUCCGUGACUU